rnacentral:rRNA from 1 species
GUAGGGGGCAAGCGUUGUCCGGAUUUAUUGGGCGUAAAGAGCUCGUAGGUGGUUUGGUAAGUCGGAUGUGAAAUCUCCAGGCUCAACCUGGAGGGGUCAUUCGAUACUGCCAUGACUAGAGGUCGGUAGGGGAGUGUGGAAUUCCUGGUGGAGCGGUGAAAUGCGCAGAUAUCAGGAGGAACACCCGUAGCGAAGGCGGCACUCUGGGCCGAUUCUGACACUGAGGAGCGAAAGCGUGGGGAGCGAACAGGAUUAGAUACCCUGGUAGUCCACGCCGUAAACGUUGGGCACUAGGUGUGGGACUCUAUCGACGGGUUCCGUGCCGUAGCUAACGCAUUAAGUGCCCCGCCUGGGGAGUACGGCCGCAAGGCUA